AUUGAACGCUGGCGGCAGGCCUAACACAUGCAAGUCGAACGAGUGGCGGACGGGUGAGUAAUGUCUGGGAAACUGCCCGAUGGAGGGGGAUAACUACUGGAAACGGUCGAUAAUACCGCAUACCAUCGGAUGUGCCCAGAUGGGAUUAGCUAGUAGGUGGGGUAACGGCUCCACUAGGCGACGAUCCCUAGCUGGUCUGAGAGGAUGACCAGCCACGCUGGAACUGAGACACGUGCCAGACUCCUACGGUAGGCAGCAGUGGGGAAUAUUCCACAAUGGGCGCAAGCCUGAUGCAGCCAUGCCGCGUGUAUGAAGAAGGCCUUCGGGUUGUAAAGUACUUUCAGCGAGGAGGCGUUACUCGCAGAAGAAGCACCGGCUAACUCCGUGCCAGCAGCCGCGGUAAUAC
rnacentral:rRNA from 1 species